AUGAACGCUGGCGGCGUGCCUCAUACCUGCCAGUCGAGCGAACGGACGAGAAGCUUGCUUUUCUGAUGUUAGCGGCGGACGGGUGAGUAACACGUGGAUAACCUACCUAUAAGACUGGGAUAACUUCGGGAAACCGGAGCUAAUACCGGAUAAUAUUUUGAACCGCAUGGUUCAAAAGUGAAAGACGGUCUUGCUGUCACUUAUAGAUGGAUCCGCGCUGCAUUAGCUAGUUGGUAAGGUAACGGCUUACCAAGGCAACGAUGCAUAGCCGACCUGAGAGGGUGAUCGGCCACACUGGGACUGAGACACGGUCCAGACUCCUACGGGAGGCAGCAGUAGGGAAUCUUCCGCAAUGGGCGAAAGCCUGACGGAGCAACGCCGCGUGAGUGAUGAAGGUCUUCGGAUCGUAAAACUCUGUUAUUAGGGAAGAACAUAUGUGUAAGUAACUGUGCACAUCUUGACGGUACCUAAUCAGAAAGCCACGGUUAACUACGUG
rnacentral:rRNA from 1 species